rnacentral:rRNA from 1 species
UACGUAGGGGGCAAGCGUUUGUCCGGAUUUAUUGGGCGUAAAGAGCGUGUAGGCGGCCAGACAGGUCCGUUGUGAAAACUCGAGGCUCAACCUCGAGACGCCGAUGGAAACCGUCUGGCUAGAGUCCGGAAGAGGAGAGUGGAAUUCCGUGGUGUAGCGGUGAAAUGCGCAGAUAUCAGGAAGAACACCCGUGGCUAAGGCGGCUCUCUAGUACGGUACUGACGCUGAGACGCGAAAGCGUGGGGAGCGAACAGG